rnacentral:lncRNA from 1 species
AGGACAAGCCAUCUUGGGAAAAUGAGUCAAGAACUUCCGAACUCAACAUUUAGGAAAUGUUUUUUGUUUUUGUUUUUGCCAAAAUUCAUCCAUAAAGGUGAGAUUUGAGGUGUAGCAAAAUGUCUUGGCUCUUCUGAAUAUUUUUCAAACCAUUCAGUGUUUAACCUUUGUUGUUGUUACUCCCCCCGCUCCUUUUUUUUUUUUUUUUUUGAGACAGAGUCUCACUCCAUCGCUCAGGCUGGAGUGCAGUGGUGCGAUCUAGGCUCACUGCAACCUCUGCCUCCUGGGUUCAACCUCUGCCUCCUGGGUUCAACCUCAGCCUCCUUAGUGGCUGGGAUUACAGGUGUGAGCCACCACACCCGGCUAAUUUUUGUAUUUUUCAAUUCAAUUUCCCAACCUCUUUAUUUUCCACUACUUUCCUAUGGCUAUCCUAUGCUCUAACCUAACUAGAUGGUUUUACUUCCAACUUGCCUAAACUUUCUCAUC